AUUGAACGCUGGCGGAAUGCUUUACACAUGCAAGUCGAACGGCAGCACGGACUUCGGUCUGGUGGCGAGUGACGAACGGGUGAGUAAUGUAUCGGAACGUGCCCAGUCAUGGGGGAUAACGUAGUGAAAAUUACGCUAAUACCGCAUACGAUCUAUGGAUGAAAGCGGGGGAUCGCAAGACCUCGCGCGAUUGGAGCGGCCGAUAUCAGAUUAGGUAGUUGGUGGGGUAAAGGCCCACCAAGCCAACGAUCUGUAGCUGGUCUGAGAGGACGACCAGCCAGACUGGAACUGAGACACGGUCCAGACUCCUACGGGAGGCAGCAGUGGGGAAUUUUGGACAAUGGGCGAAAGCCUGAUCCAGCCAUUCCGCGUGCAGGAUGAAGGCCCUCGGGUUGUAAACUGCUUUUGUACAGAACGAAAAGGUUUCUACUAAUACUAGGAGCUCAUGACGGCACUGUAAGAAUAAGCACCGGCUAACUACGUGCCAGCAGCCGCGGUAA
rnacentral:rRNA from 1 species